rnacentral:rRNA from 1 species
AUGAAAUUGAAAAUAUUCCGAGAUGGCAAAUAUUCGGAGAUGACUAUGAAAACACCUCUCUGGUUCCUCGAAUUGAAAGAGAGAUGGAUCCGUACAUCUCGAUCGGAAAAGAAUCAAUAG